rnacentral:rRNA from 1 species
ACGGGAGGCAGCAGUGGGGAAUAUUGGGCAAUGGGCGAAAGCCUGACCCAGCGACGCCGCGUGAGGGAAGAAGGUCUUCGGAUUGUAAACCUCUUUCAGCAGGGAAGAUAAUGACGGUACCUGCAGAAGAAGCCACGGCUAACUACGUGCCAGCAGCCGCGGUAAUACGUAGGUGGCAAGCGUUAUCCGGAUUUAUUGGGUGUAAAGGGUGUGUAGGCGGGACUGCAAGUCAGAAGUGAAAAUCAUGGGCUCAACCCAUGACCUGCUUUUGAAACUGUGGUUCUUGAGAGUGGGAGAGGUAAACGGAAUUCCUGGUGUAGCGGUGAAAUGCGUAGAUAUCAGGAGGAACACCGGUGGCGAAGGCGGUUUACUGGACCAUUACUGACGCUGAGACACGAAAGCGUGGGGAGCAAACAGGAUUAGAUACCCUGGUA